rnacentral:tRNA from 1 species
ACUUUUAAUGGACAUUA